UGCAGUCGAGCGACAGCAUUCCUUCGGGGGUGUAUGGAGCGGCGAACGGGUGAGUAACACGUGGGCAACCUGCCCUCAGCUCUGGGAUAACUCCGGGAAACCGGGGCUAAUACCGGAUAUGACCUUUCACGACAUCGUGUUUGGUGGAAAGUUUUUCGGCUGAGGAUGGGCCCGCGGCCUAUCAGCUUGUUGGUGGGGUAAUGGCCUACCAAGGCGACGACGGGUAGCCGGCCUGAGAGGGCGACCGGCCACACUGGGACUGAGACACGGCCCAGACUCCUACGGGAGGCAGCAGUGGGGAAUAUUGCGCAAUGGGCGAAAGCCUGACGCAGCGACGCCGCGUGAGGGAUGAAGGCCUUCGGGUUGUAAACCUCUUUCAGCAGGGACGAAGCGCAAGUGACGGUACCUGCAGAAGAAGCACCGGCCAACUACGUGCCAGCAGCCGCGGUAAUACGUAGGGUGCAAGCGUUGUCCGGAAUUAUUGGGCGUAAAGAGCUCGUAGGCGGUUUGUCGCGUCGGCUGUGAAAUCUCGGGGCUCAACCCCGAGCCUGCAGUCGAUACGGGCAGACUAGAGUGCUGUAGGGGAGACUGGAAUUCCUGGUGUAGCGGUGAAAUGCGCAGAUAUCAGGAGGAACACCGGUGGCGAAGGCGGGUCUCUGGGCAGUAACUGACGCUGAGGAGCGAAAGCGUGGGGAGCGAACAGGAUUAGAUACCCUGGUAGUCCACGCCGUAAACGGUGGGUGCUANGUGUGAGCGGUAUUCCACGCCGUUCGUGCCGCAGCUAACGCAUUAAGCACCCCGCCUGGGGAGUACGGCCGCAAGGCUAAAACUCAAAGGAAUUGACGGGGGGCCCGCACAAGCAGCGGANCAUGUGGCUUAANUUCGACGCAACGCG
rnacentral:rRNA from 1 species